CCUACGGGAGGCAGCAGUGGGGAAUCUUGCGCAAUGGGCGAAAGCCUGACGCAGCCAUGCCGCGUGAAUGAUGAAGGUCUUAGGAUUGUAAAAUUCUUUCACCGGGGACGAUAAUGACGGUACCCGGAGAAGAAGCCCCGGCUAACUUCGUGCCAGCAGCCGCGGUAAUACGAAGGGGGCUAGCGUUGCUCGGAAUUACUGGGCGUAAAGGGAGCGUAGGCGGAUAGUUUAGUCAGAGGUGAAAGCCCAGGGCUCAACCUUGGAAUUGCCUUUGAUACUGGCUAUCUUGAGUACGGAAGAGGUAUGUGGAACUCCGAGUGUAGAGGUGAAAUUCGUAGAUAUUCGGAAGAACACCAGUGGCGAAGGCGACAUACUGGUCCGUUACUGACGCUGAGGCUCGAAAGCGUGGGGAGCAAACAGGAUUAGAUACCCUGGUAGUCCACGCUGUAAACGAUGAGUGNUAGUGUCGCAUGCAUGCAUGUCGGUGACGCGAGCUACGCAUAAGCACUCCGCCGUGGGAGGUACGGUCGCGAGAUAAACGUACGAAGAAGUAGACGCGNGAGACGUGCCGACGGACGACGACGAGGGAGGAGG
rnacentral:rRNA from 1 species